CAUCCUCUCGUCAAUUACCUAAAGCCGAAUCGACAGAGCAGUUCAAGCAUCGUAGAUUAUCGUAGAUUUUACCCAUUUUGCUCGGCGUCAUGAAGAUCGCUAUUUUUCUCGUGUUAGUUGUCAUGGUUGUGUUCUCAAAUGCUGUAACGUACGAUUUCGAACCAGAACAUUGCAAAGAGCGAGCAAUGUGUAUGAGGGUUUGUGAGAACGGGUUUCAGAGGGCUAAUGAUGGAUGCGUGAAAUGCAAUUGCAACGUAGAUUUGUCCCAUUGUCCCAACGUGUCCUGUAUGAUGGCAUGCCCCACUGGUGCCAAAGAGAAGGGACCUGAUGGGUGCGAGGUUUGCAAAUGCCGCGACUGACCCAGCAUUUCGAGUUCGCGCCGCAAAUUCGCUUUCGCUGUGCGCUAAAGAAAUAAAGAAACCCGUACAAUAA